UACGUAGGUGGCAAGCGUUGUCCGGAAUUACUGGGCGUAAAGCGUGCGUAGACGGUAGCGUAAGUCAGAUGUGAAAGCCCCGGGCUCAACCUGGGAAUUGCAUUUGAGACUGCUCUGCUCGGGUGCGGAAGAGGGAAGCGGAAUUUCCGGUGUAGCGGUGAAAUGCGUAGAUAUCAUUUGGAACGCCAACGGAGAAAUCAGCUCGCUGGGGGUGUGCUGACGCUGAGACACGAAAGCCAGGGGAGCGAACGGG
rnacentral:rRNA from 1 species